UGGGGAAUAUUGCACGAUGGGCGCAAGCCUGAUGCAGCCAUGCCGCGUGUAUGAAGAAGGCCUUCGGGUUGUAAAGUACUUUCAGCGGGGAGGAAGGGAGUAAAGUUAAUACCUUUGCUCAUUGACGUUACCCGCAGAAGAAGCACCGGCUAACUCCGUGCCAGCAGCCGCGGUAAUACGGAGGGUGCAAGCGUUAAUCGGAAUUACUGGGCGUAAAGCGCACGCAGGCGGUUUGUUAAGUCAGAUGUGAAAUCCCCGGGCUCAACCUGGGAACUGCAUCUGAUACUGGCAAGCUUGAGUCUCGUAGAGGGGGGUAGAAUUCCAGGUGUAGCGGUGAAAUGCGUAGAGAUCUGGAGGAAUACCGGUGGCGAAGGCGGCCCCCUGGACAAAGACUGACGCUCAGGUGCGAAAGCGUGGGGAGCAAACAGG
rnacentral:rRNA from 1 species